rnacentral:rRNA from 1 species
AUUGAACGCUGGCGGCAGGCCUAACACAUGCAAGUCGAGCGGAUGAAGGGAGCUUGCUCCUGGAUUCAGCGGCGGACGGGUGAGUAAUGCCUAGGAAUCUGCCUGGUAGUGGGGGAUAACGUCCGGAAACGGGCGCUAAUACCGCAUACGUCCUGAGGGAGAAAGUGGGGGAUCUUCGGACCUCACGCUAUCAGAUGAGCCUAGGUCGGAUUAGCUAGUUGGUGGGGUAAAGGCCUACCAAGGCGACGAUCCGUAACUGGUAUGAGAGGAUGAUCAGUCACACUGGAACGGAGACACGGUCCAGACUCCUACGGGAGGCAGCAGUGGGGAAUAUUGGACAAUGGGCGAAAGCCUGAUCCAGCCAUGCCGCGUGUGUGAAGAAGGUCUUCGGAUUGUAAAGCACUUUAAGUUGGGAGGAAGGGCAGUAAGUUAAUACCUUGCUGUUUUGACGUUACCAACAGAAUAAGCACCGGCUAACUUCGUG